CCUACGGGCGGCAGCAGUGGGGAAUAUUGCACAAUGGGGGAAACCCUGAUGCAGCAACGCCGCGUGAAGGAAGACGGUUCUCGGAUUGUUAACCUCUGUUCUUAGUGAAGAAUAAUGACGGUAGCUAAGGAGCAAGCCACGGCUAACUACGUGCCAGCAGCCGCGGUUAUACGGAGGUGGCAAGCGUUGUCCGGAAUUACUGGGUGUAAAGGGAGCGCAGGCGGGAAGCCAAGUCAGCUGUGAAAACUACGGGCUUAAAUUGUAGACUGCAGUUGAAACUGGUUUUCUUGAGUGGAGUAGAGGUAGGCGGAAUGCGGGGUGUAGCGGUGAAAUGCGUAGAUAUUCGGAGGAACACCGAUGGCGAAGGCAGCCAACUGGGCUUUAACUGACGCUGAGGCACGAAAGUGUGGGGAGCGAACAGGAUUAGAUACCCUGGUAGUC
rnacentral:rRNA from 1 species